rnacentral:sRNA from 1 species
ACUCAGGGCUAUGACGUUUGAGGAUUUACCCGAAUGUGAACUAAAUCACUUCAAAGACGGGGUAAGUCUCAGUAUCAUCAUGAGAGUUAAACCCUCGCCG